CAAUAGCGUAUAUUUAAGUUGUUGCAGUUAAAAAGCUCGUAGUUGGAUUUCGGUUAAGAGCGACCGGUCCGCCGUUUGGUGUGCACUGAUUGGUUUUAACUUCCUGUAGAGGACGUGCUCUGGGUUUAACGACCUGGACUCGGAGUCUACGUGGUUACUUUGAAAAAAUUAGAGUGUUCAAAGCGGGCUUACGCUUGAAUAUUUCAGCAUGGAAUAACACUAUAGGACUCCUGUCCUAUUUCGUUGGUCUCGGGACGGGAGUAAUGAUUAAGAGGAACAGUUGGGGGCAUUCGUAUUUCAUUGUCAGAGGUGAAAUUCUUGGAUUUAUGAAAGACGAACUUCUGCGAAAGCAUUUGCCAAGGAUGUUUUCAUUAA
rnacentral:rRNA from 1 species